rnacentral:rRNA from 1 species
UACGGGGGAUGCAAGCGUUAUCCGGAUUUAUUGGGUUUAAAGGGUGCGUAGGCUGUGAGGUAAGUCAGCGGUGAAAUGCCCCCGCUCAACGGGGUGAAGUGCCAUUGAUACUGCCUUGCUGGAAUGCGGAUGCCGUGGGAGGAAUGUGUGGUGUAGCGGUGAAAUGCAUAGAUAUAACUUAGAACACCGAUAGCGAAGGCAGCUUACCAGACUGAGUCUGACGCUGAUGCACGAGAGCAUGGGUAGCGAACAGG